AAUUCCAGCCCAAAAGUCAGGCUGUACAAUCCCAACUUUUCUGCCAAAUCAAAUGCGCCAUAUUAAUUUGACAUUUUUCCACAACUAAUUUUUCCUAUCUAUGCUACCAUGCCUUAAAAGUAGCCUCUCUUUCAACACUUAACAUCACUACCCACUCCCACCACCAACUCCCUGCAAAAGCCAUGCCUAAGGCUCUCUACUCCUCUGCUUAAUCCAAGCACAACCCUCUCAGUUUAGCAUCCUCACCAUUCAACAGAACUCCUUCUCACAAUUAAAAAAAAAAAGAGAAAAGACUCAAGUGCAAAAAUCGAUUCAGUGAGGUCCAGUUUUACAGUAGCAAAUCAAACACCAAACUUCAACCAAGAUCAGAUGACAACAACGCAGCCUGACCCAAGUUUCUUAAGCAGCCAAACCAUUCCAGUUUCCAGCCGCACAAACCCAACCGAUUCUAUUAAAGGUUGAGCAGCUGAUGGAAUGGAAUGAUGUUGAGCGGGUGUUCCUUUGACAUUUCAAGAAAUGUAACCUUGAGUAUACAUCUUCAUAUGUAUAUCUCACACGUUUUCCGCUGCAAAACACUUUAAUUAGAAUAACUCUAUGUUAUGAAGUUGUGACACGUGUUAUUGGGUAACCCACCUUAAUCAGUUCUCCUUCAUGUGUAUGUUUUAUAAGUAUCCAAAUGAUCAUAUAUGAUCCUAGCAUCUUAUCUAUGAGUGACAUUCUCAUAUACCUUAAUGUUAAGUAAUUGUCCAUUUCCAUUUCUUAUU